rnacentral:rRNA from 1 species
CGGCGGACGGGUGAGUAACACGUUGAUAACCUACCUAUAAGACUGGGAUAACUUCGGGAAACCGGAGCUAAUACCGGAUAAUAUAUUGAACCGCAUGGUUCAAUAGUGAAAGACGGUUUUGCUGUCACUUAUAGAUGGAUCCGCGCCGCAUUAGCUAGUUGGUAAGGUAACGGCUUACCAAGGCAACGAUGCGUAGCCGACCUGAGAGGGUGAUCGGCCACACUGGAACUGAGACACGGUCCAG